GAGGAUGUAGCUCAGACGGACAGAGCGCCUGUUUCCGAGGCAGGAAGCCACAGGUUCAAACCCUGUCAUCCUCG
rnacentral:tRNA from 1 species